ACGUGGCCUGGCCCCCUGCCCCCAGGCUCCCGCGCGGCCGGAGGGGCGCGGCGGGUUCCCACGAGGGGCCGGCAGGGAACGCCGCGGCGGCAGGUGGAGGCGGGAGGGAGCGAGGGCGCCUGCGCGUGCGCACGCGGAAGAGCUGGGCACGCGGGGGUGCACGUGAGGUGCGCGUGACUGCGAUCAGGCGCGCACCCUCGCCUCACGAGGGGCGCACGGGUACAAUCACGUGCACGCACAGAUGCGGUCACGUGUCCAUCACGUGCACACCGUGGUGUCAUCUCCGUAUGUGCGCACACGUGCGAUAGUGCGCAUGCGCCCCCACCCCCACCCCGCGGGUGUGAGGGCGGGAGCGGCGCCAUGAUGUGAAAGCUGGUGGGAUGUGUGUUGUCCAGAAGCACUGCCGCAGAGCGCGCCUCACCCAGGAGAAGAGCAAAGACUGCAGAGGAUGGGAGCGUGGCAGGGCGACAAGGACUUCCCUUCCGCAGCUGCCCAGGUGGCACGUCAGAAACCACAGCCAUGCCUGGAGAAGCUUCCCCUUCACCACUGUAUUAAUCAGUUAAUUCACCAGCCCCAUAGUUGACCUGGCGGGAGGCAGUGUUUGGGACAGCAUGAGAAAGGAGAGGACAAGCCAAUGCCUGCACUCGAUGGAUGGGAGCAACUGCAUUUAGUGAGGCCUACUUUCAGUUUACCUCCCCCUCCCAAUCCGUUUGGUAUCGAGAGCUUUUAAACUGCAACUUAAUACAGGUUUGUAACAAGCACACAUAGGCAGGUGAAAAACCGAAAGGGGGAGAGAAAUGUUUAGCAGUGAUCCUUGAUCUGGAACAAUGAGUCCAGUGCUUCUGAGCAAUGAAGAGGUUUUUACUAGUUCCUGAAAUGACUUGGAGAAGGGAUUGCAGGAACAGCCUGGAGUCCAGGUGGCUGUGACUAGGUGAUAGCUCUCUCUGCUUUUGGUGUAGUUUAUUGCAGAGCAGUGGCCCCUUUCUGUAGCAAGGAUUUUAAUUGAUUUUUUUAAAGAUUUAAAGCUGAAAUUGGUCCCAGUCCCCCAGUGAACUGUAAAAAGAAAUUUCUUUUCCUCUGUCUUGCUGGUGAGAGAUAUUAAAUUGAGUUAAAUCUGUCCUGGAAAUGCACCUGUUUUCAGUAACAGAUUUUGCAUGGUUUGGCUGGAAUAUUUACAGUGCCUUCUGAGGUGUGAGCUUUGGUUGCUUGGUGACCUGAGUUGUACCAGUUUGAAUCAGAGUUGUACACUGGAACCUGUGCUGCUUAAAAUUCAGGAAUUUUUCUGUUUGAAAGUUUGGUUUAGAAUUGGCUCUGAGAAGCACAGGGAACUUGUUAAAUGAGUAUGGCAGCUUUCUGCAAAGCUGGGAUUCUGUUUUGUAUUUUGUGUGCUGUAGCUCAGAGCUCCUGUUUCAGCAGGCUGCAUCUAUUGCACAAAUGAGCUUCUUGGACUUCAGUGCAGUUGAGCCUUCUGACCUAGUUGUGGUGAGAUAUAAUGUUUAUUCAAGGAGUUUUGGUUUUAGACUUUUAUUUUUCUUGAGUAGCAUUGUGGUGCCGUGGUCUCGAGAUGCUCCAUAUUGCUGCUUGAACCUCUGGGCCGGAUGCUGAAACUAGCCUAAUACUUUCUCUCUAGGGAGAAACCGUGACUGACACGCACUAUUUAGUGAAAGCAGAAACGAUCCUUAUUGCUUUGGCACUCAAACAUGAAGCUGCAUGUUUGUCACGUCUUCUGGCUUUGCCUGAGAUUCCUUUCCCUUGUUUCCAAGGUGCUCAGUACGUGGCUCAUGGCCCUACUUUGUUACAGACAAACGAGGCCUUGUUUUUUUCUAGCAGCCCAGGAGAAAGUGGCAAGAUGGUUUAUUUUCACGGGAUUUAGGUGCAAAUAUAUCUUAUGUAAGUCUUAAGAUGUUCUGUUAUUUCAUACUUAAGUAUGAAGCUGCUUCUCAUUCUUGUGGUUUUUCACCAAAGCAAAGGAUUCUGUGGAUCUCUGGGAUGGACCCAGUGUGUUCUGUGGCUGGAAAUAAAGCUACAGCUCACAGCUUUUAGGUGGCCCUUUCCUUCAGCUGGGAUUUUCUCCUCACUGAUACAAAAUGCAUACAGCUUUGCCAUAACUGUGCUCCUAAGUCACCAUGGCCACUUGAAUGUGGCAUAAAAUAAACCUGACUACUAGUUGGUAACUUCUAAUUUUUUCCAGUAUUUCCAUGGUCUCUCUCUGGUGUAGGGAGAAACCUUGCAUCAUGUUGGCUUGACAGGAAUGGUUCCUCAUCAGCAAAAUAUGUGCUUUAUGAAGGGACAUAUCUGCUUGCUUUGAAUCUAUUAUUGGGACAGAUUUUUGUGUCUUGGACUUGGCCAGGAGCACAAGCCGUCUUAAAAAUGAUGCACUCUAUUCCUGUGUUUUUGCUGGUGGGUUCCAGACAUGCUCUGGUGAUACGGUGUAUCAGAGACCUGAGUUAGCUCAGACUCUGCAAGUAUAAAGCAUUCCUGGAAAACACUUCACAUUGCUGUUAUUUCUGACAUAAAUUCCCCCCACAAAACGUUUGUGUUCUUUGCUAGCGUGAAGUGAGCCCUCUUCUAAUUAAAAAAAAAAAAAAAAAAAUAUAUAUAUAUAACGUGGUCAAAUCUGGCUUCAUUCACAACCGUUUUGUGUUUUAUGACUGUGUAACUUGCAUCCCUUGUAGUGAGGUGUGUGCUGCUGAAAAUUUCCUCAAUAAUACUGGCUUUUCAAAAUGCGUCAUUUUCAAUGAUAGAAUAAAAGAUGUGGAACUGAGAAAGCACCUGUGUCAUGUUUUUGGUUUGUUACACUAGUAUUGCAUGAUAGUAGUAUUUUACAAAGGGAUCUCUGCUCGCUUAUUUACUUACUGAACUAUAGUGAAGUUGUUAACAUGACCAGGGUUGCAAUAAUAGGUAAGUUUUUAUAAAGCAUAUUGACCAUCCCUGUGCUUUGAGGCAUAAAUCAACCAUGGAGGUCAGGAAGAUGUUCUACAUAUGUUAAUCAUGUCACACUGGCCUGUUUGAGUUGCUGAGCUGGAUUAGAUAGCUUGUCUGAACUAGCAUGGUGAUUGCUACUAUUGCUUUAUAUGUAGAUGUUCUAGCCAUGAGAAUUGUGGUCAAUGCCUCCCACUGUGAACAAUUUGCACAAUAAUAUAUUUUCAUUACUAAUUUUUUUAAUUAAAAAUGAACAAUAAAAUGUUACAGUACAAACAUUUUUCAUGUAAACAUUGAUAGGAAGCCAUCAGGAAUAUCCAUUACUGGAGCAGCAUUAAGGCAAUUAGGUCAUCAAUGAAUUUAAAAUAGUGGUAUUUUUCUUUAUUCUAACCCUUAACCUAUUUACUGUAUAAUUCAUCAACAGAUAAGGAAAAUAAGAUUUUUUUUUUUU